rnacentral:rRNA from 1 species
AUUGAACGCUGGCGGCAGGCCUAACACAUGCAAGUCGAGCGAGCGGCGGACGGGUGAGGAAUGUCAGGGAAACUGCCUGAUGGAGGGGGAUAACUAAUGGAAACGGUAGCUAAUACCGCAUACCAUCAGAUGUGCCCAGAUGGGAUUAGCUAGUAGGUGGGGUAAUGGCUCACCUAGGCGACGAUCCCUAGCUGGUCUGAGAGGAUGACCAGCCACCCGGGAACUGGACCGCGGUCCAGCCUCCUGCGGGAGGCAGCAGUGGCGAAUAUUGCACAAUGGGCGCCAGCCUGAUGCAGCCAUGCCGCGUGUAUGAAGAAGGCCUUCGGGUUGUAAAGUACUUUCAGCGAGGAGGCGUUACUCGCAGAAGAAGCACCGGCUAACUCCGUGCCAGCCGCCGCGGUAAUAC